rnacentral:rRNA from 1 species
AUGCAAGUCGAACGCCUGUAGCAAUACAGGAGUGGCAGACGGGUGAGUAACGCGCUGGGAACGUGCCCUUUGGUUCGGGAUAACCCAGGGAAACUUGGGCUAAUACCGGAUACGUCCCUAACGGGAGAAAGAUUUAUUGCCGAAGGAUCGGCCCGCGUCCGAUUAGCUAGUUGGUGGGGUAAUGGCUCACCAAGGCGACGAUCGGUAGCUGGUCUGAGAGGAUGAUCAGCCACACUGGGACUGAGACACGGCCCAGACUCCUACGGGAGGCAGCAGUGGGGAAUAUUGGACAAUGGGCGCAAGCCUGUUCCAGCCAUGCCGCGUGGGUGAUGAAGGCCCUAGGGUUGUAAAGCCCUUUCGGCGGGGAAGAUAAUGACGGUACCCGCAGAAGAAGCCCCGGCUAACUUCGUGCCAGCAGCCGCGGUAAUACGAAGGGGGCUAGCGUUGCUCGGAAUCACUGGGCGUAAAGCGCACGUAGGCGGGUCGUUAAGUCGGGGGUGAAAUCCUGGAGCUCAACUCCAGAACUGCCUUCGAUACUGGCGAUCUUGAGUCUGGGAGAGGUGAGUGGAACUCCGAGUGUAGAGGUGAAAUUCGUAGAUAUUCGGAAGAACACCAGUGGCGAAG